CCUACGGGCGGCAGCAGUGAGGAAUAUUGGUCAAUGGACGAGAGUCUGAACCAGCCAAGUAGCGUGAAGGAUGACUCCCCUAUGCGUUGUAAACUUCUUUUAUAUGGGAAUAAAAUGUUGUACGUGUGGGAUUUUGUACGUACCAUAUGAAUAAGGAUCGGCUAACUCCGUGCCAGCAGCCGCGGUAAUACGGAGGGGCCGAGCGUUAUCCGGAUUUAUUGGGUUUAAAGGGAGCGUAGGUGGAGUGUUAAGUCAGUCGUGAAAGCUUGCGGCUCAACCGUAGGAUUGCAGUUGAAACUGGCAGUCUUGAGUGCAGGAGAGGUGGGCGGAAUUCGUGGUGUAGCGGUGAAAUGCUUAGAUAUCACGAAGAACUCCGAUUGCGAAGGCAGUUCACUGGACUGCAACUGACACUGAGGCUCGAAAGUGUGGGUAUCAAACAGGAUUAGAUACCCGAGUAGUC
rnacentral:rRNA from 1 species